UACAGAACGCCCGGGCUUCGGCCUGGUUAUUCAUAACCCUUUGUUGUCCGACUCUGUUGCCUCCGGGGCGACCCUGCCUUCGGGCGGGGGCUCCGGGUGGACACUUCAAACUCUUGCGUAACUUUGCAGUCUGAGUAAACUUAAUUAAUAAAUUAAAACUUUUAACAACGGAUCUCUUGGUUCUGGCAUCGAUGAAGAACGCAGCGAAAUGCGAUAAGUAAUGUGAAUUGCAGAAUUCAGUGAAUCAUCGAAUCUUUGAACGCACAUUGCGCCCCCUGGUAUUCCGGGGGGCAUGCCUGUUCGAGCGUCAUUUCACCACUCAAGCCUCGCUUGGUAUUGGGCAACGCGGUCCGCCGCGUGCCUCAAAUCGUCCGGCUGGGUCUUCUGUCCCCUAAGCGUUGUGGAAACUAUUCGCUAAAGGGUGUUCGGGAGGCUACGCCGUAAAACAACCCCAUUUCUAAGGUUGACCUCAGAUCAGGUAGGGAUACCCGCUGAACUUAAGCAU
rnacentral:rRNA from 1 species